rnacentral:lncRNA from 1 species
AUGAGAUUUGGUUCACCGAAUCCUAAUAGCCCAAAUCUUUGCUUUCAUUUGAAGCCCCCUUGCUCCCCCACCCCCAGGCGUUCCUGGCCAGCAGUGACUUCUCCAUCUUGGUUCUGAGAUGGGGAACUAUGUCUCCUGACCACCAGCCGCAGGUCUUUCUGCUGGAAACCACACCGAGGCCAUCACCUGGGGUGGCAGCUUUGAUAUAGGAAUGUUUGCAGGAUCCGGUUCAUCUCACAGCAAACGCGAGCCCAGAAAUGCUGCGGAGAGGGAGCACAGAGUGGGGAGGCGGCGUGUGGUGUAACAGCGCCAGGCAGGGCAGCGACCGCCUCCGUGUCUGUGCGCAUGCUCACAGCUCGCCUGGGAGGCUCUGAGCGGCACAGGUCAGCUAGCGAGCAGUGUGGCAGCCGUGGCACGGGGAGCCCAGCGGGAUGGGGCCCUGCAGACAGAGGCACGUGGAAGAUUCCCUCGGCUCUCUCAAGGUUCCCAUGCUGCUCCCUGUUUGCUCGGCCCUCGCGUCUCCACUUGCACAUCUCAGACUCCAGGACGGGCAGUCUGCUCCUUAUCUGAACACAAGCAGCGUGAGCGUGACGCGGCGGAGUACCAGGUGCCGCCAACCUUGGCUGGAGAGGCUCGGAAAGUCCGUUGCCCACCGGCACACACCCCUGACACGGUUUCAUCGUGCAGCGAAAGGACUGCUAAUCGGCAAACCCGGUGAAACUAUUGAGUUUGGCCCGGUGCAAACUUCCCAGUAAUAUGGAAAGGAGGUGUUUCAUGGCCGGCACAUAAAAAUACCUAUUUCUUUGUCCCAUUCCCCAACCCCCCCAUUUUUCACUCCUACGCCUGCCUGUGUUUGGGGGUGUCUAUCAACAGCAGUUUCUCUGGAGACAGAUAAACAGGCCACCUGGCUCUGGUCUUGCCCGGAGAGAACGUUCUGCAUGCUGUCUAUGGAAUGUAUGUGUGUGCGUGUGUGUGUAUGUGCGUGCGUGUGUGAUGCACACUGCUCUGGCCAGCCUUGGGUUCCUCUUGCAGGCCCGCGCCUAUCAGCCUGACCCUUUGCUGGUGGGCAGCUCUCCCAUGGCCUGUGGGCUGCCGGGCGGCCAUCC